AUACCGGGCCUUUUUGGGCUUGGUAAUUGGAAUGAGGGAGAGUUAAACGGACCAUCGAGUAUCCAUUGGAGGGCAAGUCUGGUGCCAGCAGCUGCGGUAAUACCAGCUCCAAUAGCGUAUAUUAAAGUUGUUGCAGUUAAAAAGCUCGUAGUUGGACUUGUGUGCGCUGUCCGCGGGUGGCCUGCGCCCAAAAGGGCGUUUCGGUUCGGCCCCGGUGGCGCCUUGAAAUCUGCAGCUGGGGGGACGUUGGCCUUAACUGGUCGGCGACCGCACGCCGGCUGCUCGGUUACUGUGAGAAAAUUAGAGUGUUCAAGGCAGGCAUUGGGUGCAAUUGAAUACAUUAGCAUGGAAUAAUAAAAUAUGGCUCCUGCCGUAUUUUGUUGGUUUUGACUGGUGGGAGUAAUGAUCGAUAGGGACGGUUGGGGGUGCUAGUAUUGAGCGGCCAGAGGUGAAAUUCAUGGAUUCGCUCAAGACUAACUUAUGCGAAAGCAUUCGCCAAGGACGUCCUCUUUAAUCAAGAACGAAAGUUGGGGGAUCGAAGACGAUCAGAUACCGUCGUAGUCUCAACCAUAAACUAUGUCGACUUGGGAUCGGCGGUAGUUUUUUCAUUAAGACACUGUCGGGACCACGGGAGAAAUCAAAGUGUCUGGACUCUGGGGGAAGUAUGGUCGCAAGGCUGAAACUUGAAGGAAUUGACGGAAGGGCACCACCAGGAGUGGAGCCUGCGGCUUAAUUUGACACAACACGGGGAAACUUACCAGGUCCAGAGAUGUAGAGGAUUGACAGAUUGAAGCUCUUUCUUGAUCACUUCGGUCGUGGUGCAUGGCCGUUCUUAGUUGGUGGAGUGAUUUGUCUGGUUAAUUCCGUUAACGAACGAGACCUCAGCCUGCUAGUGUAGUCGGCUGGAUUGCCUUUGGCGAUCCGUGAUUUCGACUUCUUAGAGGGACAAUCGACGCGCAGUCGAUGGAAGUUUGAGGCAAUAACAGGUCUGUGAUGCCCUUAGAUGUUCUGGGCCGCACGCGCGCUACACUGCUGGGCUCAGCGAGUUUUACUUGGCCGAGAGGCCCGGUUAAUCUUGUGAAAUCCCAGCGUGCUUUGGCUCGCCUCCUGCAACUGGAGGCGCCAACGAGGAAUUCCUAGUAGACGCAGGUCAUCAACCUGCAUCGAUUACGUCCCUGCCCUUUGUACACACCGCCCGUCGCUCCAUAAGAGUGAGGCAUCCGGUGAAUUCUCGGGAGAGCCUGGGCGUGGCCAGCAAUGGUCUGCUCGGGUUUGAACUUGCAUAAACUUGGUGCCUAUGAUUAGGG
rnacentral:rRNA from 1 species